rnacentral:rRNA from 1 species
UAUGGAGGAUGCGAGCGUUAUCCGGAUUUAUUGGGUUUAAAGGGUGCGCAGGCGGUCUGUUAAGUCAGCGGUCAAAGCCCGGGGCUCAACUCCGGGACUGCUUUUGAAACUGCGUUGCUAGAUUGCGGGAGAGGCAAGUGGAAUUCCUAGUGUAGCGGUGAAAUGCGUAGAUAUUAGGAGGAACACCAGUGGCGAAGGCGGCUUGCUGGACCGUGACUGACGUUGAGGCUCGAGAGCGUGGGGAGCAAACAGG